CCUCCGCCCCCGUCCCUGAGACCUGAGAGAAACAAGAAGAUUCUAGAGGUCACCAACAAGAUCAUUGAGCUGCUGACGGGAGAGGUUCCUAUAAGAUGUCAGGAUGUCUCUGUCUAUUUCUCCAUGGAGGAGUGGGAGUAUCUAGGAGGACACAAGGAUCUCUA